AAAGUUGCGGCGAUCUCCACAUGACAUCAGUUCGACGCCGGCGCACAGCUGGAGCAGUGUUCCCAGUCUCAGUACUACAUAUACAGUGUGCAAGUAUCGUGAUAUCGUAGCCAUGAAGUUCAUUGUUUGCGUCUUCAUGUUCUUAGUGAUCCUGGAGGGAUUCCACUGUGCACCAAAUUAUUACUCGUCGUCGUCCAUAACGCGUACCAAUCAUUAUGAAAACAAGGGUGAAUAUAACACUCUUCUCGUUGGUCCUCUGCCGGACCUGUCUCGAUAUCAAGAUCUUAUUAUGGCAACUAUGAGUGGUGGAAACGAAGAUGAGAAGUCACCCUGUUGCUAAUCAUGAAAUGAUGUCGUAUAAGUUGUGAUCGCUAUCGGACCACUCUAUAAGAGCUCAUGUUACCCACAGGUGGACACAAUAUACCGACUAAAGCGUCAAUAUCCUGUAUAGUAAUAAUAAUAAUCUUUUUUUUUAAUUCAGGUAAUUUACACCCAUAAAUUAUACAGAAUAUGACAAUUAAAUUUCCACUUAGAUUAUACAUUAAAUUAAUUUCAACAAAUAAUAAAUAAAUAAAAUAAAAUAGUCAACGUUAAUUAAUUAAGUCCAAUAAAAUAAAAUAAAAGUUCAAUCAAUUAACAGUCAGUCAGUCAGAUAGUUCAUUAAUACAAAAUGUCAAAAUGCUUUCUGUAUAAAUAUAUAUAUAAAUGUGCUUUCCUUCUUCAUCUUACUCUCAAUCUAAGUUACUUGUAUAAUAUUUAAUUUUGUACCUACUUUGUAUGUUAAGACUUAUGUUUAUUUAUAUUGUAAAAAUAAAUUGUUUAAUAUUAUACAUAUUUAUAACAAUGAAAUAAAUGUCUGAGAAGUAUA